rnacentral:rRNA from 1 species
GUAAACGAUGAUCCAGCCGUUAGUGGGUUUACUCACUAGUGGCGCAGCUAACGCUUUAAGCAUUCCGCCUGGGGAGUACGGUCGCAAGAUUAAAACUCAGAGGAAUUGACGGGGGCCCGCACAAGCGGUGGAGCAUGUGGUUUAAUUCGACGCAACGCGCAGAACCUUACCAGCCCUUGACAUGUCCAGGACCGGUCGCAGAGAUGUGACCUUCUCUUCGGAGCCUGGAACACAGGUGCUGCAUGGCUGUCGUCAGCUCGUGUCGUGAGAUGUUGGGUUAAGUCCCGCAACGAGCGCAACCCCCGUCCUUAGUUGCAACCAUUUAGUUGAGCACUCUAAGGAGACUGCCGGUGAUAAGCCGCGAGGAAGGUGGGGAUGACGUCAAGUCCUCAUGGCCCUUACGGGCUGGGCUACACACGUGCUACAAUGGCGGUGACAAUGGGACGCUAAGGGGCAACCCUUCGCAAAUCUCAAAAAGCCGUCUCAGUUCGGAUUGGGCUCUGCAACUCGAGCCCAUGAAGUUGGAAUCGCUAGUAAUCGUGGAUCAGCAUGCCACGGUGAAUACGUCCCGGGCCUUGUUACACACCGCCCGUCACACCAUGGGAGUUGGUUUUACCUUGAA